rnacentral:ncRNA from 1 species
GAAUAUAGUGUAGAUUCGGGUGCUGGUAAACCAUUGAAGGUUUAAUCAGCUUAAAAGGGAAGCCGGUGCGAAUCCGGCGCUGUCCCGCAACUGUAAGUAGGAGCAAUCCAGCGAACCACUGUACUCUGAAGAGGAGGAUGGGAAGGGCUGGAAAGCGUAGAUCAUAAGCCAGGAGACCUGCCCGGAUCAGGAAACACUA